CAAUUGCGGUGCCCCGGGGAGCGGCUCCGGCGGGGCGGCCGCCCGCGCUCGCAGCGAGGAUGGAGGCAGAGGGCCGGGUACCGGGGCCGCCGCCGCUCCCCCCCGCCGGGGGAGGGAUCGGGGCCGAGCUCCCCGCCAUCCCCCCCGGCGCGGCCCGGGCGCCGCUCCUGGGCGCCCCCGCCGAGGUGCUGGAGUUGGACGACGAGGAGGACGACCUAGAGGUGUUCAGCAAGGGAAUUUCCCAUUGUCUCAGCGCUUUGAAUCACAUGGCCUGCCCUGAACUAUUACAUUUGGAAAGCAGUUUCAUUCUUCAUGGGGAGCAUGGGCAGCUAGCGCUGGAUACAUCAUUGGCUGAAGCAAACUCAUUCAGUCCUUCAAUGACAAUAUCCCCCUCAUCUAUGAUAAACCAGUAUAAAUUUGAAGAUGAACCAGAAUUAAGAGAUCUCUUCAUUACUGUCGAUGAUCCUGAAAGCCACAUUACAGCCAUUGAAACAUUCAUUACAUACAGAGUAAUCACAAAGACAAAAGAACAUUUUUUCUGCAGGCAAGUAUGGAAGGGCUGUAAGACAUCUCGUGGUGAAUUUGACUCCUGUGAAUAUGAAGUUCGAAGACGGUAUCAGGAUUUUCUUUGGCUGAAGAGCAAACUCGAAGAAGCACAUCCAACACUAAUUAUUCCUCCAUUGCCUGAAAAAUUCAUAAUGAAAGGAAUGGUGGAACGAUUUAGCGAUGAAUUCAUUGAGACUCGAAGAAAAGCUUUACAUAAAUUUUUGAACCGCAUUGCUGAUCAUCCAACUUUAACUUUUAAUGAAGACUUCAAAAUUUUUCUUACUGCACAAGCCUGGGAACUCUCCUCACACAAGAAGCAGGGCCCUGGUUUGCUGAGCAGAAUGGGACAGACUGUAAGAGCUGUAGCAUCCUCAGUAAGAGGAGGAGUUAAAAAUCGUCCUGAAAUGUUUACAGAAAUGAAUGAUUAUAUGGAAACAUUUAGUCAGAAAAUAAAUGUACUGGACAAAAUAGCUCAUAGAAUCUACAAGGAAGAAAGGGAGUAUUUUAAUGAAAUGAAGGAAUACGGCCCCAUCCACACACUUUGGUCAGCAUCAGAAGAAGAUAUAGCAGACUCCCUAAAAGGCGUCGCCAGCUGCAUUGACAAGUGUUGCAAGGCUACAGAGAAACGAAUGGCAGGGCUCUCGGAAAAUCUGUUACCGAUCUUACAUGAGUAUGUUCUCUACAGUGAAAUUCUGAUGGGUGUUUUGAAAAGGAGAGACCACAUUCAAAGCGAACUCAAUUCCAAAAUUGAUGCUUUAGCCAAUAAAAAGGCAGACAAGGAUCUGUUCUCAGAAGAGAUUGGGAAACUUGAAGACAAAGUAGAAUGUGCCAAUAAUGCUCUGAAAGCAGAUUGGGACAGGUGGAAGCAAAAUAUGCAGUGUGAUAUGAGAUCGGCAUUCACUAAUAUGGCUGACGAUAAUCUCCAUUAUUAUGAAGAGUAAGAUAUGCAAUUGCAGUAUAUGGAAACCUCUUGCUGCUAUUUCUAAAAAUGGUGUUGCAGAACAGAUGUGUGACCUGCAGUAAUAGUCAGAAUAUUUUAGUGCCUUGCUACAUGGGAGUCCUUCUUAGCAUCUCAAACAGUGGAUCGUCAUGGGGAAGAAGAUUCUGAAGACAGGCCUUGAGUACUAUCUCUGCUUGAUCUCUACCUUUCCAUGCAGUUUCUCCCAACCAAAGAAGUGCUUUAUAUGAGAUCAGAUAUAUUGUUAAAAGUAACUGUUAAAAUCAGUGAAACGCAGGAAACCAGCUUAUUGAAAACUCAGGUAUUCUAGUCCUGAAAUACAUUUUGGAACAUGCUAUAUAUUGCUUUAUAUUGCUUAGUUGUGAUUUUACAUAUUUUUAUGCAAGUGUUUGCAUACAAUUGUUUUCAUACAUAUUGCAUAACUUGGAUAUAAAGUAUUUUAAAUAUGUAAAAAAUAGCUCAAUUUUAAUAAAAAGUUUAAUAAGAAAA